rnacentral:rRNA from 1 species
AUCCUGGCUCAGGACGAACGCUGGCGGCGUGCCUAAUACAUGCAAGUCGAACGCUUCUUUUUCCACCGGAGCUUGCUCCACCGGAAAAAGAAGAGUGGCGAACGGGUGAGUAACACGUGGGUAACCUACCCAUCAGAAGGGGAUAACACUUGGAAACAGGUGCUAAUACCGUAUAACAAUCGAAACCGCAUGGUUUUGAUUUGAAAGGCGCUUUCGGGUGUCGCUGAUGGAUGGACCCGCGGUGCAUUAGCUAGU